UGCAGUAUGGCUUAGUGGUAAAGUGCUUGCCUGGCACACAGGAGCCCCUGGAUUAGAUCCCCAGCACUGCAU
rnacentral:tRNA from 1 species